rnacentral:rRNA from 1 species
UACGAAGGGGGCUAGCGUUGCUCGGAAUCACUGGGCGUAAAGGGUGCGUAGGCGGGGCUUUAAGUCAGGGGUGAAAUCCUGGAGCUCAACUCCAGAACUGCCUUUGAUACUGAAGAUCUUGAGUUCGGGAGAGGUGAGUGGAACUGCGAGUGUAGAGGUGAAAUUCGUAGAUAUUCGCAAGAACACCAGUGGCGAAGGCGGCUCACUGGCCCGAAACUGACGCUGAGGCACGAAAGCGUGGGGAGCAAACAGG